rnacentral:misc_RNA from 1 species
AACAGAACCCCCGAGCGUUAUCCGGAUUUAUUGGGCGUAAAGUGUCCGUAGCCGGUCUAGAAAGUCUUUGGUUAAAGCUCAAGGGCUUAACCUUUGAAUUGCCAAGGAAACUUCUAGACUAGAGGGCGUUAGGGGCUGAUGGAACUCUUGGUGGAGGGGUGAAAUCCGUUGAUAUCAAGAGGAACACCAAAAGCGAAGGCAUUCAGCUGGGGCGACCCUGACGGUGAGGGACGAAAGCGUGGGGAGCAAAAAGG